GACGAACGCUGGCGGCGUGCUUAACACAUGCAAGUCGAACGGAAAGGCCCUGCUUUUGUGGGGUGCUCGAGUGGCGAACGUGUGAGUAACACGUGAGUAACCUUCCCUUUACUUUGGGAUAACUUCAGGAAACUGGGGCUAAUACCGGAUAGGAGCUCCUGCUGCAUGGUGGGGGUUGGAAAGUUUCGGCGGUUGGGGAUGGACUCGCGGCUUAUCAGCUUGUUGGUGGGGUAGUGGCUUACCAAGGCUUUGACGGGUAGCCGGCCUGAGAGGGUGACCGGCCACAUGGGGACUGAGAGACGGCCCAGACGCCUACGGGAGGCAGCAGUGGGGAAUAUUGCACAAUGGGCGGAAGCCUGAGGCAGAAACGCCGCGUGCGGGAUGACGGCCUUCGGGUUGUAAACCGCUUUCGCCUGUGACGAAGCGUGAGUGACGGUAAUGGGUAAAGAAGCACCGGCUAACUACGUG
rnacentral:rRNA from 1 species